GAACUACUCCCUCCGUUCCGAAUUACUUGUCUUAGAUUUGUCUAGAUACGGAUAUAUCUAGCACUAAAAUGAGUCUAGAUACGUCCGUAUCUAGACAAAUCUAAGACAAGUAAUUUAGAACGGAGGGAGUAGGUG
rnacentral:pre_miRNA from 1 species